UACGGGGGGGGCAAGCGUUGUUCGGAAUUACUGGGCGUAAAGGGCUCGUAGGUGGCCAACUAAGUCAGACGUGAAAUCCCUCAGCUUAACUGGGGAACUGCGUCUGAUACUGGAUGGCUUGAGUUCGGGAGAGGGAUGCGGAAUUCCAGGUGUAGCGGUGAAAUGCGUAGAUAUCUGGAGGAACACCGGUGGCGAAGGCGGCAUCCUGGACCAAUUCUGACGCUGAGGAGCGAAAGCCAGGGGAGCAAACGGG
rnacentral:rRNA from 1 species